AGUUCCCUUCACUUCAGGAGUCAGCGGAAUCAUUGGGCAAAAUGAUUUCCAUCCCGUGGUAACUAGGAUUUACACAAGCUCCAGUCUGGAUCCAGAACACCUGAGAAGAGAUGAUGCUGACCCUCAGAGGACCUCAGAUGAUGCUGACCCUGAAUCAACAACAGAACUAACAAAUAUUGCUACAAGUGUGACUGCAUCAUAUAAUAAUUACUGUUAAUAAUGUUCAUCGUCUGUUUGAUUACAUGUCAUUAACUGCAUGAAUUUUACAGUAUUUCUACUAUCUGUACAUCAAGUUAGUCACCGCUGAUAAGCUACUUCUGAAUAUAAUAGAAACUUUAAUUUUCUGUAAAGCUACUUACUAAUAAAGUGCGUCAGAACAG